AUGGGUAAUAUGACAGGUGUUCACUCUCAGGUUGUUCUCACACAGUCUGAACAGUCAGUAGCAGUGGCUCCAGGAGGAUCCCACAAACUCACCUGUAGAUGCAGUGGAUUCACUGUGAGGGACUAUGGCAUGCACUGGAUCAGACAGGCUCCUGGUGUUCACUGUAAUGAACUGACCCAACCUGGCUCCAUGAUGGUGCGUCCAGGUCAGAGUCUGACCAUCAACUGUAAAGUUUCAUAUUCAGUUACAAGCUGGAGCACAGGUUAUAUCAGACAACCUGCAGGAAAAUCUAUGGAGUGGAUUGGAACUAUCUAUAGUGGUGGUAGCACAGACUACAGUAAUAAACUAAAAAACAAGUUCAGCAUCUCCAGAGACACUGGAACUAACACAAUAACAUUACAAGGACAGAAUCUGCAGACUGAAGAUACAGCUGUGUAUUACUGCGCAAGAGACACACAGUGA